UCACCUCCUCAGGCUGCUGGCCCCCAGGCUGGGCUGGGAGAGUAUUUUUUCGAAAGGCUCACUCUCAAGCACCACUAAGAGC
rnacentral:pre_miRNA from 1 species